UACGUAGGGUGCAAGCGUUAAUCGGAAUUACUGGGCGUAAAGCGUGCGCAGGCGGUUCUAUAAGACAGAUGUGAAAUCCCCGGGCUCAACCUGGGAACUGCAUUUGUGACUGUAGAGCUGGAGUACGGUAGAGGGGGAUGGAAUUCCGCGUGUAGCAGUGAAAUGCGUAGAGAUCGGAAAGAACACCAACGGCGAAAGCACUCUGCUGGGCCGACACUGACACUGAGAGACGAAAGCUAGGGGAGCGAAUGGG
rnacentral:rRNA from 1 species